rnacentral:rRNA from 1 species
GACGAACGCUGGCGGCGUGCUUAACACAUGCAAGUCGAGCGGUAAGGCCUUUCGGGUUACACGAGCGCCGAACGGGUGAGUAACACGUUGGUGAUCUGCCCUGCACUUCGUGAUAAUCCUGGGACACUGGGUCUAAUACCGGAUAUGACCUCCUAUCGCUUGGUGGGUGGUGGAAAGAUUUAUCGGUGCAGUAUGGGCCCGCGGCCUAUCAGCUUGUUGGUGAGGUAGUGGACUACAAAGGCGACGACGGGUAGCCGACCUGAGAGGGUGACCGGCCACACUGGGCCUGGGACAGGACCAGGACGGCAACGGGAGGAAGCAGUGGGGAAUAUUGCAAAAUGGGCGAAGGCAUGAUGCAGGGACGCCGCGUGAGGGAUGACGGCCUUCGGGUUGUAAACCUCUUUCAGCAGGGAAGAAGCGCAAGUGACGGUACCUGCAGAAGAAGCACGGGCUAACUACGU